CGACAGGCGUUCCUCUUGCUGCUUGAAGCCAUAGCAGCAGGAUUUAGUUCUGUCGGAGAGCAAAUGGCUUGAUUCACUCUAGAUGCCCGCCAGGCGGUUGUGCUGCCCCUCUACGGCAUUUGGAAGUUUGCGAAGUCGGACAACU